AACAAACACACCUGUUCGUCCUUUUAUUUUUCAACGCUUAGAUAUUGUUCUUCUUUUGUUAUGUCAUGUACGCACCUGGUUACUUCCCCCUCCAAACUGGUACAUAAGUUCUACUGUGAAGGACCAUCCCUUAUUUCCCAGAAUGCAAAAUUUAACCCCCAGACUUCCGAAGGGUGGCACCCUACCAGGCUAAACUGUGCUGACAUGUGAUCACGUCCAAGAUACCAUGCACUAACCUGGACCAGGAAAAACAAAAACAACCAACUACUGCCCCCGGAGCACCUGGUACUGGAGGAGCCUUCAAAACUCUGCGGCGGAAGCUAAAAAAGAUGAGGCAAGAACCAGGGGGCUCUAAGCAACCUGACCCCCCAUCUGGUGAAGUGGGACAGCCUGUGGGAGCUCUAAGUGAUCAAUAAACGCACCUCUACCAAGGCUGACUGAAGACACCGGUCUGAUGGUAGCACUCUCAACGGAAGUAGCUCGAAAAGGGAAAAACGGAAACCAGAACCUUUAACGAAGCAGCUUCAGGUUUCAGAAUACUGUCCAUAAAGACCUGGAGGGAACGUUUUCGGAAGAGGAGCGACGGUCGACACUUUGUCACCCAAAUUCACGGAGUGCCGUCACCGAGAGGGAGCGCUGUUGAUCACGUGCGUAGACCAGGUACCCUUGAUUGGUCGAAGCGAGGAUUCACCCAAACCCAGUAAGGGCACACGUCUUCAUCCGCGGGACUGGAGAAGAUCCUGAAAAGGCUGGAGUUACAACCAGCAAUUGGCGUGUGGUACACAGGAAGGACCCCAAGGGACAAACUCUGACUGCCUUUACGGACCAAACUUUCUGGGACAUCCUGGGGGCCACUUAUAACCAUCGAUCCUACGUGAACUUGACCAGGGUGACAUUGAAACUUCCUCUCCAAGACGAAGGUGCCAGCCACCGAACUUCAGUAGGCUUUCUGUGCCACGGUCUGCACCCCCACCCCCCAAAACAACUAGAAGAAAAAUAGAAAGCACUCUGAAUGCGCGACGG